UACGUAGGGGGCAAGCGUUGUCCGGAUUUACUGGGCGUAAAGAGCGCGUAGGCGGAGAUCUAAGCGUGGCCUGAAAGCCCCCGGCUCAACCGGGGAGUGCGGCUGCGAACUGGGUUUCUUGAGGACGAUAGAGGAGAGUGGAAUUCCUGGUGUAGCGGUGAAAUGCGUAGAUAUCAGGAGGAACACCGAUGGCGAAGGCAGGUCUCUGGGCCACUACUGACGCUGAGAAGCGAAAGCAUGGGGAGCGAACAGG
rnacentral:rRNA from 1 species